CCCUUAGACGUUCUGGGCCGCACGCGAGCUACACUGACCAGUGCAACAAGCAUCCGUCCUUGGCCGACAGGCCCGGGCAAUCUUUGAACGCUGGUCGUGAUGGGGAUAGACUUUUGCAAUUUUUGGUCUUCAACGAGGAAUUCCUAGUAAACGCAAGUCAUCAACUUGCAUUGAUUACGUCCCUGCCCUUUGUACACACCGCCCGUCGCACCUACCGAUUGAAUGGUCCGGUGAAGCCUCCGGAUUGGCGCGCACCUCGGUGCCGCCGAGAAGUUGGCUAAACCUUACCAUUUAGAGGAAGGUGAAGUCGUAACA
rnacentral:rRNA from 1 species